UCCCCAUCCACCUCGGGCGGCCCCCUCCCGACUGGGACACGAGGCGGGGCUCUCGUCUGUGCCAUCACCCGGGACUGAGCCUGGAGAACUCAGCUCUGGGCCCCCUUGCUGGAGGCCAGGCCGGGCCGGAGCUGAGAGCCGCUGCCCACUCGCCCGGGGGUGCUGUUGGGAACCAGGGCAGGGUGCGGCUGGCGAGUGGGCAGGGUUUCCGCCAGGAACUUGACCUGUGCCUGACCCAGCAACGCACCCUCGAAUCCCUGCUCACCUGGGCACAGCAUGAGCUGACGUGGCUGCUGGGUGAGCGCUAUGGCAUCCCUGCAGGCCCCGCCCCCGCCAGGUGAUGGGCCGGACGGCCUCCUCUCCUGCCCCUGGUGUUACCAAGAGAGCCGUCUUCCGCCAAUGCUCAGAGCAUGCUCCGGGGCCGAGACACCCUCCCACCGGCAAGUUCCUAAAUAAACUCGCCGGAUAAACAGCUGGCACGGGGGAGGCAACCAAGGUGGGCGUGAGAGGGCGCAGGAGGCCAGGCGGUGGGGAGCGGUGGGGACGCUGAGAACACGGAUUCCAGCAGGUGCGUUGGAGUUCAGCUCCUGGCUCAGGUUCCCAGGACGUGAGUCAGACCCAGCUCCCAGCUAAUGUGGAAGAUGGCCUGAGUGUCUGGGUCCCUGUCGCCCAGGUGGGAGACCCAUAUGGAGUUCCAGGCAGCCAUUCGGGGAGCAAACCAGAGAAUGGAAGAUUCUCUUUCUCUCUCUCUGACUCUGCCUUUCAAAUAAAUAAAUACAUCUUAAAAAAAAAAAAAAGCAAA